rnacentral:rRNA from 1 species
GAUUCUGGCUCAGAACGAACGCUGGCGGCAGGCUUAACACAUGCAAGUCGAACGGUUGCAGCAAUGCAGCAGUGGCAGACGGGUGAGUAACACGUGGGAACCUUCCUAGGGGUACGGAACAACUCAGGGAAACUUGAGCUAAUACCGUAUACGUCCGUGAGGAGAAAGAUUUAUCGCCCUUAGACGGGCCCGCGUCGGAUUAGCUAGUUGGUGGGGUAACGGCCUACCAAGGCGACGAUCCGUAGCUGAUCUUAGAGGAUGAUCAGCCACACUGGGACUGAGACACGGCCCAGACUCCUACGGGAGGCAGCAGUGGGGAAUCUUGGACAAUGGGCGCAAGCCUGAUCCCAGCCAUGCCGCGUGAGUGAAGAAGGUCUUCGGAUUGUAAAGCUCUUUUGCCAGGGACGAUAAUGACGGUACCUGGAGAAUAAGCCCCGGCAAACUUCGUGCCAGCCGCCGC